UACGAAGGGGGCUAGCGUUGUUCGGAAUUACUGGGCGUAAAGCGCACGUAGGCGGGUCGUUAAGUCAGGGGUGAAAUCCUGGAGCUCAACUCCAGAACUGCCUUUGAUACUGGGGAUCUCGAGUCCGGAAGAGGUGAGUGGAACUCCGAGUGUAGAGGUGAAAUUCGUAGAUAUUCGGAAGAACACCAGUGGCGAAGGCGGCUCACUGGUCCGGUACUGACGCUGAGGUGCGAAAGCGUGGGGAGCAAACAGG
rnacentral:rRNA from 1 species